GGAUCUUUAGCUCAGUUGGUUAGAGCUAUCGGCUCAUAACCGAUCGGUCGCUGGUUCGAGUCCAGCAAGAUCCA
rnacentral:tRNA from 5 species